rnacentral:lncRNA from 1 species
UCUCUGGCUUUUCUAAUAUUCUUGCUUUUGCCUGUGGAGAGUCAUGGCAAGUUUGCCCCGGAUCUCGUCCAGCUCGAUGGUCCUGGAAUAGACCAUACGACAAAUCGGACACCAAUCAGUUAAGAUCUUACAAGAAAUGGAGCCAACGCAGUUCAGUUAUAGCCAGUCGACUAUGUCAAUCUGGGCACAAGGUAUGGAGGCCAGAAGAAAGACUUCAGCAACAUGCUGUUAUUCUAAUUCUACAAUAACCAAGGGCAAAAGCCAACAGAAUAUGAAGUAGUUAAUAUUGAAAUUUCGGAAUGAAAGUCUUUAUGGAUGUAAUUUCAUAAUAGAUGUAUCUGAAACCGGGCGUCGCUAAGAGAGAAAAAUAGAAACUAGAGGCUGAAGGCAGAAAUUGAUGACAACAUAUACAAAUGGUGUCAUGUAAACAGAUAGGAGAGGGGGAAAAAACUCGCACAGCAUCAGACCUUUUUUCAUUGUGAAGACAACGCCGGCAGAAUUCAGUUCGUUCUUUUUUGAGGAUGCAGG